rnacentral:rRNA from 1 species
GAUGAACGCUGGCGGCGUGCCUAAUACAUGCAAGUCGAGCGAACGGACGCGAAGCUUGCUUCUCUGAUGUUAGCGGCGGACGGGUGAGUAACACGUGGGUAACCUCCCUAUAAGACUGGGAUAACUGCGGGACACCGGAGCUAAUACCGGAUGAUAUUUUGAACCGCAUGGUUCAAGAGUGAAAGACGGUCUUGCUGUCACUUAUAGAUGGAUACGCGCUGCAUUAGCUAGUUGGUAAGGUAACGGCUUACCAAGGCAACGAUGCAUAGCCGAUCUGAGAGGGUGAUGGCGGCCACUGGAGCUGAGACACGGUCCAGAGUCCUACGGGAGGCAGCAGUAGGGAAUCUUGCGAGAUGGGCGGAAGCCUGACGGAGCAACGCCGCGUGAGUGAUGAAGGUCUUCGGAGCGGAAAACUCUGUUAUUAGGGAAGAACAUAUGUGUAAGUAACUGUGCACAUCUUGACGGUACCUAAUCAGAAAGCCACGGCUAACUACGUG